rnacentral:tRNA from 1 species
GCAAACCAUGCCGGUACGACUUGCUUUGCAAGCAGGGGGUUAGGGGUUCGAGUCCCCUUAGCUCCA